AAUGGACGAGAGUCUGAACCAGCCAAGUAGCGUGAAGGAUGACUGCCCUAUGGGUUGUAAACUUCUUCUAUACGGGAAUAAAGUGAGGCACGUGUGCCUUUUUGUAUGUACCGUAUGAAUAAGGAUCGGCUAACUCCGUGCCAGCAGCCGCGGUAAUACGGAGGAUCCGAGCGUUAUCCGGAUUUAUUGGGUUUAAAGGGAGCGUAGGCGGACGCUUAAGUCAGUUGUGAAAGUUUGCGGCUCAACCGUAAAAUUGCAGUUGAUACUGGGUGUCUUGAGUACAGUAGAGGCAGGCGGAAUUCGUGGUGUAGCGGUGAAAUGCUUAGAUAUCACGAAGAACUCCGAUUGCGAAGGCAGCUUGCUGGACUGUAACUGACGCUGAUGCUCGAAAGUGUGGGUAUCAAA
rnacentral:rRNA from 1 species